rnacentral:rRNA from 1 species
UACAGAGGUCCCAAGCGUUACUGAGAAUCACUGGGUUUAAAGGGUGCGUAGGUGGUCCGUUAAGUCAGUUGUGAAAUCCCCGGGCUCAACUCGGGAACUGCUUCUGAUACUGGCGGACUUGAGGCCAGUAGGGGUCACUAGAACUGACGGUGGAGCGGUGAAAUGCGUAGAUAUCGUCAGGAAUGCCGGUGGUGAAGGCGGGUCUCUGGGCCGAUACUGACGCUGAGGAGCGAAAGCGUGGGGAGCGAACAGG